GCAAUGAAGAGACACAUAGUGUGACACAUAGUGGAGGAGGAGCUACACUAAUGACUGACACGCGCGCGCGCACGUGCAACAACACACGCGACGUAUACUUUAUGGAGAAAUUUGACGAACUAAAAGUAAAACCUCGUCCAGGAGACAUGAGGGAUGACCACGGCGGAAGUUGGGCAAGGAGAGAGAGAGAGAGAGAGAGAGAGAGAGAGAGAGAGAGAGAGAGAGAGAGACAGAUAGAGAGAGAGAGUUUACACGCACUCAUUGCUGUGUUGUUUUGAUUUGAUUUCAGAUGAAACCCGUUCACAUUCAGUGUUCAUUAGACAGUUCGGUUAAAUGUGAUUAGAGCGGAUUAUGACGCGCAGUCUGGUGUUCAGACCGCUCCAGUGUGUUUCCGCUGUGAAAUACAGAAGAAGAAUCUGCAGAGUGAAGACUCCGCACUGGAGAAACGAGUACGAAUGAAUGAGCUCUUUGAAUGAAUCGUGACAGGAAUGAACCGACUCCGCGAUUGAUUCACUGGCUGGAUGACUCAGCGGUCAGUAGCGUUAGGCAGGAGGCAGUGUAGAAAACAGCAGAGCUGCUGAGUUCUGGAUCCUGGUUGGUCAGAAGGUGUUGAUUAAUUCUCUAGAAGAGCAGCUCUGAUCGUAGAUCAGAUAAUAAACGGAUUAAUAAAUGCGCGUCAUCACUGAUUAUUUCAGCGUGUGUGGAAGGAGUCUCCAGUGUCGGUGCUUUGUAACACUCAGAGAGCUCUGGCGAGGAAGCGGUUCGAAUCGGAAUCGAAUCAAUGGAAGGAAUCAACAGGAAGUGAAUCGGACGUGGCCUGUUUUUGGAUUCGGCACCAAACCGAACCGUGAGGCCGAAGCUGUAGCGCUGCAGAAAUACUGCGUGUUCUGGAGAUUCGGACCCGAGGAAACAAACAAGAAGAUACUAAACUGGUUAUAUAUAUAAUGAUCUGAGCAUUUAUUUGGUGACUUUUCCAUGCUUUGGAGAUUUUUGUGACCUUUUUUUGUGAGAUUUUGGAGAUUUUUGUGAACUUUAUCUAUAUAAAGAGAGAGAGAGAGAGAGAGAGAGAGAGAGAGAUACCCUCACACAGACAGAGAGAGAGAGAGAGAGAGUGCACUGUGUGAUUGAGUUCACUGAACUAACCUUACACACACACACACAUAUAUAUAUAUAUAUAUAUAGCGCCAACCUACUUGGCUUGCUAUUUAGCAGAGAUGACUAAUCCCCCAGCACCAGAAGCCUGUACGGUGACUCUCACUUCAACACUCAUCUUUCUUCAGAGAGAUCUGUGCCUCUUCACCCCUCCUUAUCUCUCUCUAUCUCUCUCUCUAUCUCUCUCUUUAGAGAAAAGUGGCCCACACAUGUUCCUCAUGGUCUGAUUUGCAUGUUCAUUGAUGAUCAUUUGCAUACCAGAUGAGGUAUUAUGAAUCAGGAGGAUUUUCUGAGGACUGUAAGGGAAGCGAGUGGGACAUUACUCUCAACUUCAACACGUCAGCUCCGAGCUGGAAUUAGAUUCUGACCCGGGCACACGUCCAUUUGGACACACACACACACACACAUACACAUACACACACACACACAUACGAGUCUCAGACUCAUGUGACAUCCAGUUAACAUGGAGAGACUCUAUGUCUCAAUAAAACACACACUGAUAUCAGUCCACGGUCAAAGUACGCACAAAGUGUGCAUGUGUGUGUGUGUGUGUGUGUGUUUCUUUACAUGAACUUCAUUCUCUGGUUCCUAACUCAAGGCCAACGCCAAGGCCACGGUUUAUAGAUCCUGAGCGGUACAGCGAGAACAGAACCUGCAGGUGACAGAGACGUUCUGAGACGUGUCCAGGACACGGUGCUGUCGGUUAACACACACAGUCAUCGACUCGACCUUCAGCGUCUGGCCACAAGAGCCAGUUUCUGAGUAAAGCCUGACAUAACACUUUAGUCUGAAUCGAGUAGUGAGCUUUUCUCCUUAAACACACGUGUCCAGGACGUCUGCAGCGUUUGUGUUUCUGUCUUUAAUCGUGUUUUCAGGAUGAUCUGGUUCUGUCUGAGCUGCGUCUACAUCCGAUACAGACCUGCUCACACACUCAAAACCCCAAUACACUGACUGAUCUCGUUCACUCCAUUUAACUGAGUAACGGAAGCUCGAAAAACUCCUACAUUUAAGUUCACUUGACUGUGUUUACUGAGCGAUAUUCACAAUAUUAAUGAAAUGACAGUACACACUACACGGUAAUGGGAACGGAUCAGGACCACACUGUGCACCGUAAUGGGAACGGAUCAGGACCACACUGUGCACCGUAAUGGGAACGGAUCAGGACCACACUGUGCACCGUAAUGGGAACGGAUCAGGACCACACUGUGCACCGUAAUGGGAACGGGUCAGGACCACACUGUGCAGGUGAGAACAGUAGUAAUGAUGUCCUACAUUAACUACUGCACUAGGUCAGAGGUAGGACUCAAAACACUUAAACAGUUCAAACAUUACACUUUUUAACCUUCGUUAAUGGAUAAUGGAGUAAACUGAGAGAGAAUAAAGCUCUCACAAUGAUGUUCAUUUGUGUUGAGCACAUGUAAAUGUAAAAACACUGAACUGGGACGUUUUUAUUCAUCUAACUUCAUUGACAUUAGUACACGAAGUAUGAACAUUGCUUGUAGGAGGUCCUGCGUUUUGUCCAUCACCACCUGACCUUCAUGUAUUAUUCCUAUAGAGGAAGUCACAUGCAAGGAGAUCAGGGGCUGAAGAUGACUGUGAGCACACGUAAGCAGAUUAAGAACUGGUGUACUUACUAAACACGAGGUAACGAGAGCAGAGUCGUCGUGUCCGAGCACACGGACCUCAGCCGGCUGACGUUAGUGGAGAACAUGAAAUUCCAUUCACACAACCACCACAACCUCUCACUGUCAGUGUGUUUGCAGCGUUUUUAUGAGAAUAUUCUGCAUGUAAAUGCCGAAUUCAAUUAAGAUUAUCAAUGAUACGCAGUAGAUUGUAUCUUCAGUGAGACUGAUCAUUACUACUACCUUUAUUUGCUUUAAAAAGUGCUGAGCAGGAAUUUUUCAAAACUUUAAAAACGUCCAUGAACCGUGGACGGCGUCUAUCAAGGUCCUCAUAGAACUCCUGCUUUAGGUUCUUGCCUGUAAUUCUGUUCCAUGCAGACCUGCGGGGAGACGAGAGCAGGUCACACACUCACACUGGAUUUCACAAAGAAAUGCCUGCCAGGAUUAGAAAUAAUUACAUGAUGCUUGCUUUAUUAUGAUAAAGAGAUAGACCACCCAAAAAUGCAAUCCAUCCCUCCGCUGACAGCCUACACAUCUACCUCUGGGGCGGCUGAGGCUCAGGUGGUAGAGAGGGUUGUGCACUAAUCGUAGGGUUGGAGGUUCGAUUCCCGGCCCAUAUGACUCCACAUGACUCCACAUGACUCCACAUGCCGAAGUGUCCUCGGGCAAGACACUGAACCCCAAGUUGCUCCUGAUGGCAAGUUAGCGCCUUGCAUGACUGUUCUGCUCCCACUGGUGUGUGAGUGUGUGAAUGGGUGAAUGAGACACAGUGUAGCAUGAUAGAGGAAAAACCUCACUGAACGCUGAGCUGUGACUCACACAGAGGGACGUGACACAGCUGCUGCAAAGUUCAUAUGACCUACAGCAGGGGGGAGAGCUUUCUCUUACAGAGCCCCACAGUUAUGGAACAGUCUUCCUAUUAGUGUUCGGGACUCAGACACAGUCUCAGUGUUUAAGUCUAGACUGAAAACGUAUUUGUUUACUCAAGCCUACCCUGACUAGAUUCUGUUACGCUAAGCACAGUCCUAAUAAUCUCUUCUCUCCCUCUCUCCUUCUGUCGAGCCACAAACGAUUUUAUGGAGAUACUAGAGAUCCUGAUCCUCUCUGCUCUCCGGACCUGCCUGAUCCGUUUCGGAUGUUGUACCUCUGGAUGGAGCUCAAAUCUUCUCUAAUUCCAGACUGCUGGGACUACGGCUGCUCCUAACACCAUACAGACUUCAUAUAAAUCCAUAAUGAACUUUUUCACACUAUCUGUUGUUACCCAGAUGAGGACGGGUUCCUUCUGAGUCGGGUUCCUCUCAAGG